CUCCGCCCGCCCCCGAGCACCCCCCCCCGUUCCCGGCAUGCCCCGGGGCGGCGGGGCUGGCCCUAACGAAUUUGAAUGAAGAGCCCAGCUCUUUCGGCGCCAUUUUCGAGUGGUGCCCCAGCGCGGCGCUGCCGCGGGGCCGCUCGCUGCCGCCGCCUCCCUCCCUCUCUCUCUCUCUCUCCCAUCCCCUCCCUCCUCCUUCUUCUCCUUCUUCCUCUUCCAACGUCCCCUUCUCCUCCUUCACCUUCUCCUCCUUCGCCGCCGAUUCGGGGAUUCGGAGCCUCGGCUGCGGGCGCCUUUCCAACACGGCAACUGGAUCGCGAUUCAAGGUUUCGACCUUUCAAUAGAGAGCUGAUUUUGGAGAACGGCUUAGUCCUGUGAUUGAAAAACUCUUUCUGGAAGGUUGAUGGAGCAUGAGCAUGGUCUGGUCAGCAACUCCAGUGCAAUUUGAAAAUAUGUAAUCUGCUGGCAGUGAUGUACCCAACCUUAAUCAGAGCUGGAGCCUUUGGAAGAGAGCUUGUGUCAUCGCAGGAUGUAUAGUCCCACAGUGACUGACCUUGAUGAAACUGUGACAGAAGAAAACAGCAGUACUUUGGAAACUGAUCCUGUGCACUUACCACCAGGGUUCCUGCAAAAUGCUACUUGAGCGUUAAGCAUUCUGUUGAGGACAAGAAGAGCUUUGAUGUACAUUCUGGAGUUAGAAUACUUAAGCAGCAAUACUCGCCUGCCUUUCUUUCAUAAAAGACUCGGUGCCAGCUUAGAAGAGCAUAAAAUUUUACUCUAGGCCUGUGACUGCUUUCUUGGGCUAAAAGAGCAAGUUUUCUGUGAAUUUGGGAGGAAGAAAGGAAAGGUUAAUUUUCUUAAUUCUUUAAGAAGGCUAGAAAUGAAUGAAAAGUACCAGAAACCUUAGAGCUUGCUUAGAUGUUCUGAAUUUUUAUCCUUUUAGCCUAUUUUUUUUUUUUUUUUUUUUUUUUUUUUUUUUUAGGAAGAGCUAGGAGGAAUGUAAUAUACUUAAGAGAAUCUGUUUCCCUGUCUUUAAUAACUUUCCACUACAACGGUGCAUUUAUGCUGGGUGGGUUUUGUUAUUUAGGGAGGGAUUCACCCAUUUUCUCCUCCACCAGCAAUAAUUCCAAAUAGUAGGUUUUAUAAACUUGAACUGUAACAGUAGGAUAAUCUUUUCUGGAGGUAACACUACAAAGACCUAAGCAAUAAUUUAACAGUACAUGUUUAUUGGAGAACUUGAAGAAAAAUAAGUAUGUUGAUUUUAUUUUUUCAUCUGAAAAGAUGUUAUGAAACCUUUUUAAAAGACCUACAGGAAUUGAAGUUGUAUUUCAAGAUAGCCCCUUUCUUUUUUGGUAGAUGCACCAGACUAAGUAUUGAUAUUUUUGUGAUUAAAACUGGGGGGGGGGGGGGGAAAGGGCUGUUUUAAAAACUGCUAUAAUAAAAUAUAAAAGUCACUUCCUAGAACAUAGAAAAUAUUGUCUUAAUUUUGUAUGUGUCCUUUGAAGCAGAAAGAGUGCUGGUACAGAUUGGAAGUGUUCUCACAGUUUUCUUCUUGUGUGCAUGCCAAAGGUGCAGGGAAGACAGAUUUUUAAAAGUUGAGUGCAAGCUAUACUAGUGCAAUAAAGAGGGAUCUGGAAAGCUUUUCUGAAAUACAACUCUUACAAACUCUUGGACCCAAAGCUUGUCAGACUUUACCAGUUUGCUUUAAAAUGUUUCAUAUAGUAGUAUAUUUAAUGCAUCAACAUCUGACAAAACACUUUUUAGAAGCUGGGAAAAGAAGUGUGAGGAGUUAGUCUUACUCAAUUUUGGUUUUAAGCUACUCAAUACUAAAAUAUAUUUCUGUAUGUUGUCAAUGCAUGUUUUUCAUAAUAUUUCUGUCAGCUUCCCUUUUUUUGCUAGCAGGUUAUUUAACUAACUUUUGGUUUCUUGCCUUCCAUGUAAGUCCACAGCAUUUUGGUUGCUAUCCAUCGUUUCUACAGAAGCCUUAAUAUUGCACUACCAAAUAACUGUUUUUAUUUCCUUUUGUUUUCAUGACUGCAAUGAAGAAAGAGUGCACCUCAUACAACAGGACAUGUGAGUCAGGCUAGUAUAAGCUGUGCUUGGAGUACUGAGAUAAAGGAGAAAGGAUAUAGAACUGAAUUUGAUGCUGACAGGCCAUAACUGCAUUUCCAAAUUUCCGUGUGUUUUUAAACUUCAGACUUUCUUAAUGCUGUAGAUACUGGUUUUUAUUUUUAGCUGGCUUUGUUAUUUUAUGUUUAUCUUAUGCAGUAGUUCUCCAGAUAGUCUAAAUAUGUUUGUUCAUGGUCCUUGGAGAGAUGGCUGGACACAUGAUGUAGAUUCUCCAAAUUUAGUAGCAGUAAAUUUCUGUAAUCAGCAGUUAUCUGCUUAAAUUGCACUAGUAAUAUUUUACACUGCAAAGGUUUCUGUGUUGUUUGUUUUUUACUGUGAUUUUGUGGAGGAAAAUUGUUGACAUGGCCAUGAAACAGUUAACAGAUAAUCCCCUUUUUUUGUCAAAGUUUGUGUGCUUGGCUUUACCCGUAAUUUACAAACAAAACUGUGGAGCAGUGCUUGUUAUCUCUGUUCAAGUAUUCAGCCUUUUGUUCAGAGGAUUACUCAAAGCGUUGUGACUCUUCAAUACAAAUUUAUUGUAGUCUUAAAUAUUCAGCUGCUUGGUAGAAGGUAGGGGAAGAUUUAUACACGGAGAGUGUGUAAGCUUGAUCCUGACUGACUUGCCCCUCUGUGGGGUGAAGUGGUGCUAAUUUAUUGCUUGAUUACAGUCAUUUAAUAAUAAUCCUUACGAAAAAUGCUAGGUCAGUGCUUAAAUUUGAGUUCAAAACCUUACUGUUAUUUCAGGAGAAAAGGUAUAGAGCUUGUAGAGCUCAUUCUCUUCAUUCUUUUUUUAAUGUGAGCACGAAGUAGCCUCAAUUAAGCUGAGUGUACUGAUGUGACAUCAUGUUGUACCUGAACCAAAUAAUAACACAGUAAUAGCCAAAAGUACACUUAUCUUUAAGCUACAACUUCGAAGCUGUAUUUCUAUUGAAUCUUUCCUUUUUAUAGUAUGUAUGUCACUUAAGGGAUGCUGACAUUAAUAAUUAGAGGUAAAGAGGGCUCGUUAGCAAUAGCAACCAAAAGGAUAAUAGAAUACUUAACACGCAUUUCCUUUAAAAUGCAAGUUUGAAGAAUGAGCAAAAGUUAGAAAAUGCUGUGUGUUUGCAGCACAAACAUUACAGCAUUGAGUAAGCAUAUGACAAAAAGUGAAACUACUAUUGUUUAAGCUGGUGGGGAGAAAAGUAAACAGUGUAUUAUCAAGGCUCAGCUACGUACACUUUAAGGUCUUUACAGUUUUGAUGCUUAAGAAUAAAUAUAUUUAGGUUUCUUAAUAGGGUGGUCAGAGUAUCUCCUGAAUUUUGUCUUUUUCACAGAGGUGGUGAAAGAGGUAGGAGCACUGGUAGCCCAGAUUUAGUUCAGUAAAAAUCUGUAUUUGCAGCAAACAGUAACUGUCAGUGUUUGUACAGAAUGCUGUAUUCGUGACACUGAAUUGUGAGCCCUGAAAGGAGAAAUUUGCAAAUUUACCUGCGGUUUGCAGGAGAAAAAAGGUUAUGACUGCAAAAUGCCUUGUCUGUCCUUAAGAGUAAGUUGCACAGGAUGCUCGUCAGCACUGCCCCACUUCACACUGUGCCGUCCCUGCCUCCCAGUGCAAACCCUGCCUUACUGCAGUUUCAGCUAAAGAGGUUAAACUGGAGAAAACUCAGAUACGGAGGUGUACGUUGUGAUCACUGUGCAGAGGGGGUAGCACUGGUGGAAAAACUGUCAUGCUUUAGGCUGAGGAACUCUUAAGAGCCUUUCAGUGUCUUUCAGCGUCAGAUUUCCAGAUUUAAACUGAAAUGGGGUUGGGAAAGGGUCACAGUGAGGCAAUAGCUGCGCUUUCAGAGUGGAUGUGUGUUGCUUUGCUUUCAUGAGCAAGUAACACAAACAAAGGAGAAUGGUUGGGUGUAAGUGGUGUAUAACACUGCCCAAGUGGAAGGUGUGUUGGCCAAGAAACAUCAGGAGAGUGGUGAUGGUAUACGAGCACAAUGCCCUAAGUAAAUGUUUAAGCUUGUGUCACAGUCCUGGACGUGUGAGAUGAUACUUUCUAUUUAAUAGAAAGGCCUUGAUUUGUUUUAUUCCAAAUCACCAAACUGUCAGAUUGCUGGUUAGUAGUAACUCCGUGAAUAUAAUGUUAUAUAGAACUAAAGGGGCGUAUUAGUAGUUACAGUAGCUGGAGGUUCACCUGUAACUGUUUUUCAUGGGAUCGGAAAGAAAAUGAGUUGGGCUUGGUAUUGUCAUAAACUCCUAAUGUUAAACUAAUAGAAGCUGAACAUGGUAUUUUAUAUUAGGCUGUUCAAUAAAUCAACUAAGAAACAGUGAAACCAAGGAAAAGCUCCUUCCCCCGCACCCCUUUUUAUUUAUUUUGAAGCUGUUUAAUUGCUUUUCUAUCAGCAUUCCUGACUUCUGUGUAUAUGCAGUGUAGAGAGCUUGCUUCUGUGGAACUGAACUUCUGCUGCUUCAGAGCUCUUCCAUCUUCUUCAGCAGAGCUCUUACGUUGAUGGACUUGGGAUCGAAUGGAGCUGGCUGUAUUCAAGUUUCCCAGCUUUUAUUGGGGUCUCCCCAGUAAUUUUCCUGCCACCCCCAACAACAAUUUAGGAUGUAAAGACAGAGGUAGGAGAAGCACUUGAUGGCAUGGCUGUGUAAGCUUUAUGACCAAAAGCACAGAGGUUCAAAGCUUUGUGCAGACACUCCCGUAUUUCACUAGCUAUCUGGCUUAGUUAUCUGUAUGUGUUUUAUCUUAGUUUUCCUCCUUUUAUCCUUUUCCUGUUCCUCAACCCUUUCUCUCACAUAUGAGGUCUUCAACUUUAAUUUAUUUUCUCUGUAAGGAGAGCAGAAGCAUAUUUUUAAUAGGAAAGUAGAAAAUACUCCCAAUUUUUUGUUUGUUUUUAAAUUUACUUCUUGUUUGGAGGUACUUUUGCUCGUAUAAGUUUAAAAAAAAAAUACAGUCCUGUAAUGCAUGUGAGUUUUUGUAUUCAUGUCUGGGGAGGAAGGGAAAUUACCUGCAAGUUCUCCUACUAAUGCACUUACGGUGAAGAUAGCAUUAAUAGCUCUGCCAAGUCUUUGUUUCAUGGUGUGUAUAGUUUAAUUUUAGAGGGAUUUGCUUAUAGAGCAGGGGGAAAAACAAAAAACAAAAAAAAACACCUCUAUGCUUAAGCUAGAAAACUAAAAACAACUAGGCAAUUGAAACAACAGUAUCUAGUUAAGCACACGUAGUUCACAAAUUAAGAACUUGGCCUGGACAUGUAAGUGAGAAUUCUUCCAAAGGUAUUAAAUGUUGCAGCUGUUUUAUUUAAAUCAUUUCUCUUUGAUAUUUUCAGGUAAAUCUACAAGUAAGAGGCAGCACUCGCUCUUGUUGAACAUCUUUCAUAAUCUUUUUCCAGAGAACUGUAAACAAAUCUUAUUGCUGACUAGCAUCUUCGCUUGCAUCCAUGCUUUCCUUAUCUUCAUCUUCCAUACCGUGUGUGUGUACACAGACAAACUUGGGAUGUUUUUCUUCACCCCUUCUCUUGGAUUAUGUCCAGCAUAGUUUCUUUAGAGGGGAGACUGUCACGGCAUACCUUUGCACUUAAGUUUGUUUUGCCUUUAUAUUCAGAUUUCACUUCAACAAGCUACUGGGUAAAUUGGGCCUAUAUAAUCUAGUUUGCCUGUUAUAGCUGUCUAAUUUAAAAACAAAACCAAAAAGUUAAGUAUUAAGAGGAGAAAAUAAGUGUGAAUAUAGUUGUAUACAUAUAAAAUAUACUGGAAGUGACUCUUAUGUGGUCUCUAAAAUAUCAGUAGCUAGAUAGCUGUAUAAAAACUUGUGUUGCUGCAGGUUCCUGUAUAUUUACACUGGCAAAUCUUGUUUUAAAUCUUGUUUUAGUUGACACUUCUUUACCAACUUACCCUUCUGGCAGAGACCAUCCUGCAGUGUUACUGUAGGAGCAAACAGAGAAAAGAAGAGGAAAAUGCCACAAGCUUUCCCCGUUUGUGGUCUGCUGAACUGUUCUGUUCUUACAGAUAGCCCUGUUAAUUUAAGAAAAUUAUUUUAUCCCAUGAACUCAUUAGAAAACUCCUUACAGUGGAAGGGAACACUUGGAUCUGGUCUAUGUAAGUAGCUUUUCUUCUAAUAAUUUGGUGUAAGAAUGUCAUUUGUGUUAUCUAAGGAACCAGUAAAAGUACUAUACAUAUUGAAAAUGCUGCUAAUAUUUUGUGUAAGAAAAAGAUGCACGGGAGAGAUGUGAAGUCCAAGUCCCUCACCUACGUCUUCCAAUAAAAUAGCUUGGUCAGUUUAGGCUGGAGGCAUAUGGACUGCUACAAGCUACUGUUACUGCUAACAAUCUGAUUUUCCCUCCAGAAUUACUUAAUAAACAGUUCUAAACCUCUCUGCACAGAGACAGUGGAAAAGGUAACCUACAAAAGGUAACAAAUGGUUUGAGGGACUGAUACAGUACUUGACAGGAGUUUGUUUUGAAAUCGGCUGUUACUCCUUUGCAGGUGAAAGCUGUGUUUCAGAUGACCAAAAGUCAGAUGAGAAAAUAACAAAGUGUGUGGUGGUGGUAUUCUGUUGUGUUUGUUUUUUUUAAAGUAAAUAUCCGCAUAAUCUUCAGUCCCUCAAAUCAGAUGCAGUUGUCCUGUUUCUGUUUUGUGUCCAACUAAGGUAUUAUCCACACUUAACAAUGAAGUGUAGAGCUGCACUGUAAAUAAACAUCUUGGCGAUUAACAAAUGUUUUAUAAGCACUUUGUAGUUUGUACUCCUCAUGUCAAUACCCAAAAACGGGUGUUAAAAAAGUUCUCCAUUCAGCUUUCAACACGUUUCUGUUUCCUUGAAGUACGGUAGACACCUUGGCAUAACGUAGCAGCACAUAAUGGUUUGUGGGUUUUGAAAAGGUGCAGGCCAUAUUGUGCUGCCUCAAAAAUACAAGGAUUUCAUCAUCCCGAACAGAAAUAUAACUUAGGAAUUAGUCAAUCUUGUGAUGCUGAUGUCUGUCAUACUCUAGCAGCACGUAAAUAUUGGUGUUAAGACUGUAAAUAUCUCCAGUAUUAACUGUGCUGCUGAAGUAAGGCUAGCCACUUCUGCAUGUGAGUCAUGAGAGAGGAUGUUUGACAUAUUUUUUCUGAAGCGUUGCUGUUUAUAUGUUGAUUGUUUUUUCUUGGCUGUUGUUCAUGUUUUCAUCUGCUCAGUAACAGUAUAGAGGAUCUCGGAAUAUCUGAAGGUAAAUGUAGGAUAGGUGCAUAUUUAAUCUUGAAUGCUUUGCUUUACAUGGAAGCUGCAUAUAAUAAAGGAGUCAGCUCAACCUACACCUGUCUAGCAGUGCUUUGGUAAGUGUGUUUCUGUAUAUAUUACUGUAUAAACUAUGGUACUUCAAAUGUCAAUGUAUCUUUAUUAAAACUCAAAGCUUUGUUAACCUUUAGCCUUCUCUUAGUGGAUGGAAACUGGGAAAUGUUUUGUCACAUUUUCAGCAAAGCGAGCACACAAAGCAGAAGUGCCUUCCAGAAUUAUUAACAGAACUUAGAUCUUUAUUUCAUGUCUUAAAUCAGACAUUCUCUUCUAAAUUUACUUCUUAAACUACAGACAGGUAACAAUUUUAGGGUUAGAAGUUUAAGCUGCAUAACUGGCUGUGAAUUUACUGAUUCUUUUCUCGUCUUCCACUACCAUGUUUCUUUUGUAGGGGAAUCUCAAUGAAUUGAGAUGAUUGAUAUUGCUGCAGUGAGAAUGGAAAUUACUUGGGUUCCUUUCCUUUUAAAAGCUGCACGCAAGAACUGUGUGGUGAGUCAAACGUAGACUAAUGGUUAUGUAAAUGUCACUAAUUUUAGAUACAGUCAAGAUCUGAAAGUGUGUUUCCUUUUAAGAUUUUAUUUUCUUCGCUAUCAUGACUCAGUAUCACUUGCAAAUCUUAUUUUAUUAGCCCUGUUAUAUUUUAGCAUUGAAAUACACAUGCCUUCUGGAAAUAAAUGUCUUACAACUUUAAGUUUAUCCAUCAUAUAGAUGUUUUAAAUGGAUUAACUGCACUGGGGAUUUGUUUUGACUUCAGGCUUCAGAGGCCUGCUGCUGGUGCUGUGGCACAGGUACAGACAUGAUGUAGAUGAACAUGAAUCCAAGUUAUAAUUCAUAAAUCUGUGUUAUUUUACCAUACAGAAUUUCAGUCUGAUAUAUGUACUGGUUGAAAAUCAGUUGUUUUUUUUCCUGCAUUUGCUAUAGAUUUGAAAUGGUAAAAUUACUGUUGACUGAAAUACCAUAAUUAAUUCAGACCUGAGCAUUUCUCUAUAGUAAAGCAAUCCAGCAUUACAUAGCCCAUAGCUUUUCGUAAAAUGUUUCUGCAUGCCCAUUUACCUGCUAUAGGUCUCAAGAUAUGUAGACAAAAUGAGGCCAACUACUCAGAAUUUCUGCCAUCUAGCUUGAAGUUUAGUAGCUUCAUCACUGAAGCUUCUUUAAGUAGCACUGUAUUUGCUUAUCUCUAACUGCACUGUUAAAGACCUGCACAUACAUUUCAGCAUCUGUAAAUUCAGAAACCCUUGGAAAAGCUAUACUCUGGGUUAUAAAACACAAAGAUUAUUGUUCCAGUAUUCCCCUCCCUUUAAAGGUUGCUGAUUCUGUUAGCGUGCUGCUUGCAGAGGGCCAUCCAUCCUGUUGCUCCUGUGGAUCCAGUAUUUUAAUGUACCUGAGCUUUCUCUCUGGGACUUCUGGGAGUAGAUGCAAAUCUAAAAAGGCAAUCAGAAAGAUCUGGGAGCAUGCAACAAGUAAGUCUAUUUGCAUGGGAUUGUCGUGUGAAUGGUGAAAUAAACUGCUUCCUUCUGGUUCACCAUGCAAACCCCUGUACUGGCACAAGGCAACGGAUGGAAGAGUGAAGCAGCAGCAAUGAGAGUUUGGCAGACUGCAACUCUCCUGCAUUCUGCAGCUCUGGGGUCCUAUGGAUCUGUCUGAUUUAAGAAAAGAAGGCUCACUGUCUUCAGUUCAAGUGCUUAUUUCUGUGCUAGGCUUAGAAACUAGGGUGAAAAGAUGCUUAACUCAUAUAAGGGAUAUAAGAGAUAGGCCUGCUUGAAAUUAAACUGUAACUAGUUGCUGUGUGAGUGUAGAUAACUGGGGAGAGGAGCGUGUCUGAAAAUGCAGUGUUGAAAGACUGGAGCUGGGAGCUCUUAGGGGAGAGGAGAUAUCUGAUAAGUGGAAAACUGGGAGGACAAAUACAGGUUGGGCGAAGAUCUAAGGGGUUUGCUUUGUGAAGGUGGAAGAAGCAGCAGCCUGACAGACGGGGUCCUGCCUGAUCCUGCAAAGAAAGUGUAAGUCAGUCUUGGGGAAAGGGGCUUGCACCUCAGAUUGUUCCUAAUGUUUACUAGAAUGCUUAGCACUUAAGUCUGCACAGCCUUCUGACUUUAGCAGCUUUUGCUGUGAAAUCACUGUCGACUUCAUUUCCCUCUCAUCCUGUCGCAUGCAAAAGAGGGCAACUUUAUUACUGCUCUUGGCUACUUUGCAAACUUUGGUCCUGAGCAACAACCCCAAAAGUCAGAGAGUAGCUGAGGUUAGAAGGGGUCUCUGGAGAUCAUCUAGUCUAAGCAGGGUCAGGUAGAGCAGGUUUCUCAGGGCUGUAUCCAGUCAGAUUUUUAGUAUCUUCAAGGACGGAGAACUUACAACCUGUCCUGUUCAGAUUAAUUUCCUGCUAUUUGCUUUGUGCCUGUUGCCUCCUGUCCUGUCACUGGCCACCACCACUUAAAGCCUGAUUCUUCUGCUCUCCUUCACCCCAUCUUCAGGCACUUCUAAGCUUUGAUAACCACCCCACACACACACAAACCCUGAGCCUUUUCUUCUAUAGGCUGAAGAGUCUCAGCUUUCACCACCUCAUCUAAAAGAUGCUUUAGUUGUUUGACUAUCUUCGUAGCCCUUUGUGGAAGUAAAUAAAAUGUUUCAACUAAUAGGGGAAACGGAAUUCAAAGGAGGAAAUGCUUUUGAGAAGGAAAGAAACCCACUGAUAAAUUAACUGUUAAAAACUAAAAAGAAUAUGCAGAUUGCAAAAUGAAACGCUGAGGAUUUAUGUAAUUCCUGAUUUAAGAUUCUGCAAUCUUAAUUUGCCCCCUUGUGUUAGUCUACUGUGAAGCAGUCUUCAUGAUCGUAGGGAAUAUCCAGUCCUAAUGGGAGGACUGGCCUGGUAUGGUGCUGGGUCAGGUAAGGUGUUUGGAGGCUGUGCAAGAAGCUCGACACUGCUACAGGUGCUGCAGAAACAGGCUGAAAAUUCUGUGGAGAAUGGACCAAAGUCUGCAAGUAGAGGAAAACACGUCUUCAUGGUUACAUCAAAUGAGAAAUCUGAGGAAUUGGAUGUGACGUUUAUUUUUCUGCUUUCAUUUCUGUGUGAUGCUAACCAAGUUACUAGGACACUGAUUUCAUAGUACUUGCCUUCCUCACUUCAGAGGUAGCUUUAAGAGGCUUUAAGAUCCUCAUGUCUGAUGGAGACGCUGGCUUUCCAUAUUGCAGCUGAGCUGCUUCAGUGUUGUAACUUGAAUUAAAAUGUUAUGUGAUGUCAUGUAUGCUUGCAGUCUCCUAAAUAUCUUAUAUGGGAUACCUCAAACUGCUGGGUGCUACUAUAGUUUCUGUAUCUCCACGUCACAUUUAAAAUGGAGAUGAUAGGCACUGAAAGACUGGUUUUGUGUGUGUUUUAUUAUUGUUACGAAGUUUCGUUUAGUGGCUGUGCUACAGUGAUGCAUUUCCUCAUCGAAUUUUCUGUGGCAUUUAUUAAUCUUGGUCUGAAGAGGUGAGUAUUGUGCAUAUCCUUACCAGUUCAAGGUAAGAAACAGGAUUUCCAUGUUGCUGGUUCAUAGUCUAUUUGUCCCUUCCUGUGUACUUUAAAGUAUUCUGAUCUGUGUCCUAUCUUGUCACUGAUUCAUUUCGCUUGUAUAGGUAUAACUGAACAUUUCGUCAUCCCAUUUUUGGAAUAUAAUUUCGCAAAUAAUGUCAUCAGUAUUCUGCAAGAUCCCUUAUAUAUUGAGGGUAAUGUUUGUGUCUGAAUUCUGGUAUGUUAUACAUGUACAAUAAAUUUACCUGUAAAGAUAUGUAUUAAAGAAUGAACUAGUUAAAUUGUAACACUUAAGUUCUUAGGCACAACAGUAUUAAAAUGCACUUCAUUAAAAAUGCCAAGUCAUGUAUUCAGGACUUCUACAGACUGCUCUUCAAAUUUCAAACACUAUUUUCUUGGUACCGCAGUCUUGAGUGGAUGAGAAGGGUUCUGUGUUUAAUAUUCAGAUAUAGAGAACUGAAAAUCUGUGUUUUUCCGUAAUACUCAACAAGAUACCGUGGUUUGGGGAAGUCUCUCCCGGUCGAGUAGCAGCAGUAGCAAUAAUCAGUGAAAUGUUUAGACUCCCUUCAUGUUCCUUGUUACCACCUCCUAUCGUAAAAGUCACAAGAUUUAUAGCAAUAAAUCUGAAGUGGUGUGCUACUAUUUUACCACAGUUUAACUCAAAGCAGCAAUUCUUUAAAACAAAUGAACAAACAAAGUUUGAAACUUACUUGGAGAAAAAAAAUCAAUGUCUGGAAUAUGUUACUAUCUGAGUUUCUGAGCUGACAGUUUUAAGUGUAUAUCAGAAAACAUUUACCUAUAGUUAGAAAUGAGAAAAAAUGAUGGAAAAAAUGCAGUGGCAUGAGUGAUGUUGCUCAUUUCUUUCUGUGAAGGACUUAGUAUCACUUGGUCAGUACUUGCUUCACUCUAAACAGUUUAUUUCUGUAGGAAGUUAUUAAGUAUCUCUUAGGUACAGCUCUAUUUUUCCAAAUUUGACUUGCUUGUAAUAGUCCCAUGUUAAUAAACCAAAUGAAACUUAUCUAUUAUUGCUUCAGUUUCUUCAUAUAAAAUUUGAUCCCUGUAUUCAAGAUUUCUGAAGUUAAGAUUUGAGUAUAGUAGCAUGUAUCCAGUGCUGACUGGGUAAAUGCUGACUGACUUAUCUCAGAAGAAGAGACAGGAAUAAUACAGCCAUAAUGUCUUUUCUCUGCUGUUUUUACCUGUAGAUGGAUCAGGCAAAAAAGAAGCUUCAGGAAUUACGUUAUUGGACCAGCUAGAGUAGUCAGCAGUCAAUAAUGUGACACUAGUUUUGUGAUUCUGAAGCAAAACCAGUUCAGGGCUGCCAGUCUUCCUGUUGCCCUCAGUAUUAGCCUGGCUCUGAUGUUUUCAUGGUGGUUUCACUGAGUAACUUUGGGUUAGAGUUUGGUAAGCUCAGCCAGCUGAAUGUGUCGCCUCUGUGAGCAGUGGUGCUGGCACCAAGGAGAAGUUCCCCCUGCUCCCUUAAGAACAACAGCCUGGAGAAGUUCAAGUUUAUUGCUCAAACCAAUGUAAGAAAUACUCAGCCAUAAUCUGUUCUUGACAGACUUUGCCUGUCUGCUCUUCAAGUACUUCAAAGGAGCUUGCAGAAAAUCUGGUCUGGGUCUUCUAGGUGCAAUAUAAGAGAAAUAUAAAUAGAUGCAGCGUAAAAAUUAAAAGAAUAACUGCUUUCAUGGUUAAGGAAAAGGACAGGAGCUGGGGAAAAAGAAUUAAGUUUGUCUCUUGUCCUCUUAGAUGUUAGCAUGAGUGUCCAUGUUCACUGUGUACUUUAAUAACUGGGAGGAGACUGUUUGAACAAAGAAGACAAAUAUGAUCUACUGGAAAAGUAAUGAACCUUCAGAAUUAAUUUUGUUCCCUCCUGCUCUGUCUUGAGUAACACAAGUUUGUUCCUGAAAGAAACCCUGCUAUACAGGCCAAGGAGAGCUUUUCAAGGAUUUUUUUCUUUUCUAGGCAUAUCAACACUGAAUACAGAACUUCUUAACAGCCAUGAAGUUCCACGAUCUUAGUUCCAUAACAGAAAUGCCAGAAGUAGAUCAAGUGAAAUGGCCAUAGGAGUCUUUGAGUCAUCUUAAAUUAUGCAUCAGGUGCCAUCUCUGUUAAAGCGUUGAGAAAGGAAGUUCCCAAAGAAAUUCAGAAAAGUAGAAUCACAUUCUUGUUUUGAGGAAGUUACAUCCAAGUGUGGUAUUUCAGUACCUUUGACAUGGUUUCAGGGAAAAGAACAUCUCUAUCUCUGCCAAAUACCACUUUUAUUUUCCUGUACUUCAGUUAAUUCAGAAACAUGGGAUCUGAACAUUCCUGGCUUACUACCUGAAGCUGUACCUGUUGACUUCAAUACUCUGCUACAAAAUGGUUUCUGAUUUACUAGAAUCAUAGAAUAUCCUGAGUUGGAAGGGACCCACAAGGAUCAUCAAGUCCAACUCCUGGCUAGCUAAUGAGCCAUGAAUAUUUCUUCCUCUUCCAUAUCUAAAUUUAACUUGUAGAAAUAAAAAAUACACAUCUCAGUCUGAAUUCUAAAGCAAUUGUUUGUUAUCACAGAGCAUAAUUUUGUUUUACACUGAGCAGUUUCUUUUGCAUGUACAUCACUACAAGGAUGUUUUUAUACAUGGAUACAGACCAUAUAGUAAAAAUUGCCCAGUGUAGUGAUCUACAUCUGUUAGCACACAUUGCUAUUACUUAUCACAGUACAAGCAGUGCAGAAAAUGACUGCAGCUAUAAAAGGAUAAUGAAAUAUUUGCUCUUUGUGUACUUCUGCUUGUUGACUUAGUGUCCUUAGUCUUCUAGGAAGUAUUUGCAAGUCUGUUCACUGCAGAGUAGCUCUUUCCUAGAUUUACUUGUAGGUUCACCUGGGAGUGAGGAGUAGGAUAUUUGGGGGGUGGGGGCAGGUCCCAGAAGCAAUGUCAGUGGGGCUAACAACAUCUUUUUCUACUUGUUUCCUUCAACAGAAGACUGGUAUCUACACUCUACACACAAAAGCUAACACAAAAGUGCUCAUGUAGACUUUGCUUCUUACUUUAUAGUACUUUAUAGAAAUGGCUGCGAUACUUUUUCAUAUUAUCGAUGUGAAAGUCUCCCACUUUCCCCAUAAACUAUGUGUUGUUUUCAGACAUAUCAGUAAAAAAAGCUAACAUAUCUAUGUAUAUAUGCAUGUAUAAUGAAACUUCAGACAUAAAAGCAAGAAAUUUCCAGUAGUGUCAUCCAAAGAUGGAAAAGGGCUACAGUUUGGGAUUUAUACAAUCUAUUACAACUAGUUGUCACAGGUCAUUUAGAAAGUGGGCUUGCCUGAGUGGUAGGUUGUACAGUCAGAAAAAGGAUUUUGUGGAAGAUUUAACAACAUCGUGUAGCCAGACAGCCCCCUGUUGGCUGUAUUGUUCUGUUGUAAAGGCUCCAGAAAUGAAUUGUGCUCAAAUUCAACUAUUCACUGCACUGAAACUAUUUUUUGAAUCCCAUAUCUUAGAUAGUAAAAAAUGGAAAGGGGAAUAAAAGUGUGUAUAAAAAAAAAAACAAAAAAAACCAACUCUGAAUUGAGUUUUAUCCCUUUUCUGAAUAAGAUCAAUGCCAAAGCUUGGUUAUAGAGAGUAUCAAGAGUAUCCGUGUUCAGUUUCUGAAUGUUUUUGUAGAAACCUAUUUUUAGAGAGCUGCAGUGAAAAUUUAGACUGGUACUUUGUCCUUGUCAUUAAAACUUAAGGCUAGCAUACUUUAUCACAUUUACAGCCUGUCUAAUGCAAAGCCUUUAGAUCAACUUCUGUCAAGAAUGCAGGUAAUGGUUUGCAAACUUAAGUUUUUAAAACUUAUCAGUGAACUAAUAAGAUAGAGGCUUCAGCCUUAUUUAAUGACUGUGACUCUUCUAGGUCUGUCUAUGAAAGUUUCUGCAGUUUAACCAGGUACAGUUUUACCAGGAGGCUUGUGUUUUAGUUAUUCGUGCUUGCUUUACUUUAGUCUCUUCUUUUGUAUGUGGCUGAAGUUGCUACCUGUGCAACUAGCUGCUUGCUUCCAGUUUGUGUUUUCCUGUGCCACAACACCAAAAGCCUUGUUCUUCGAAAGAAAUAAGUGCCUAAAAUAUGGGAAAGCUGAAGGACGUGUAGUACUAGGUAUUAACUGUCCGUGAAGGAAACCUAAAACCUGCCUUGUAAUGUCACUGUACAUCCCUGUGACAAUAGCUACUGUAUGUCUGUAAGCAAACAGUUGUUGUCUGGAAUUUAAUGGUGUAUCCAUGCUUAAAAGGUCUAGUUUAGGUAGAAGUGGGUGACCUGAGGAAGUUUCCCAGGACAAUAGGUGACCCAAGGAAAGUUUCCAGGAACAACUGUUUCAAAGACAGGAUCUUCUGCCCCAAGUUAGACAACACAGAGAUGACUCCUUUCUGUAUCAGAUGUGGCCAAUGUUAUAAAAACUUAUCUUCACUUGAAGAAUUGGAUUUGUGGCUAAAAAUUAUUUAUUUGUGGCUAAAAAUCCAUACCUGUAACAGUAGUGGAGAGUCUGAUGUGAGAGUUAGUCUUCAGCAGCAUAGGACAGAAGACUAACAUGAUGCUGAGAAAGCCAAAGUGUUCAAAGACUCUGUUUCUUUACUCUUUGGUACACACUAAAAGAUUAAUUGUAAUCAGAUAAAACAGUUGACAGAAACAACAGAGGGUAGUAAUACGUGCUGUGAUUGAAGAGGAGGAAUUGGAAAGACAGACAGGCCAAAGGUUACAAAGUCCAGCGAGCUGCUUUAAAAGUUGGCGUGACCUGCUAAAAAAGAGUCUAAGAAAUUGGUUGAAGUGGUUUCAAGGCCAAGGGACUCGACAGAGAAAUGGAGAACCUGGGUUUGGGGUUCUUCACGAGCCUGGGGGGAGACUCGUGUUCAUGUCUUUAGCUUCUGAAAAAGUGCUCGGGGGAAGUUGUCCACAGAUGUUCCCCAUCUUCCUUGUUAAAUCGAUGAGAUGUACAAAAAAGCAUAGAAGUCACAAAACAGUUUUGUUCAAAGGUUGUUGGCAGUGAUAACUAUUACUGUUACCAGAUGAAAGCAAGCUGCAGGUAGGAUUUCAAAGGGUGGGUGAAUUUGCUUUUAUUGGACUAACUGUGCAGCUCUUUGCAAGUUCCAUAUUCUCUUCCUAAGAUGUUUCCUGAAGUAAUAGUAAAAAGAGCAUCCAAUAAAUUAUAGUCCCCAUUAAACCCUGUUAAAGGAGUACCUUAUGUUUCCAGAAGAUGAACACUGAGAUAGCCAAGUAUUUAUGAAUCGGAUCACAGACAUCUGUUAUGCCAAAGUUUUUUACAUUGCUGAAGAGAGCACGGGUAAAGAUGUCCUUAAAUUGUUUUAUGCUCUUGGUUUCUCUACAGCAGCUCAAGAGGGGAAGUAACAGAGGUAAAGAGCUUCACCAGUUUGACUUCAGUGACCAGCAACGAUUCACCUCUUCACUCUACCAUCGUUAUUUUUUUUUUUUUUUUAAUUUCUGACAGCCUCCCUCCCAAACUAGGGAUCGACAGGAGCCUGUUCUGGGUGAAAGAAGAUUUAAAAGCGUAUCCUGGUCAGAAAAAUUACAGCCUUUUAUUCCUCCUCCGAGGUGUGGUUGGUUACUUAAUUUCCAAAUGAUGAUUAAACUUGAAGAAUCCCCCAAGGCUCUUGGAGCAUCUGUGUAACUUGUAUUUCUUUCAAGCAAUUCUAGUAGCUUAAAACGUACAGUGUAUUUGGCAGAGCUGUGGUAGUGUGAUCCCAUUGUUUUAUGCUUCUUCAGAAAUAAAGUCAGUCGUUUUUGAAAGGCGCUGCCUUCAUCUGUGAAAGCAUUUGUCAGUCAGGUUCCUCUAAAGCUGCACCUCUUUCUCGAAGUUUUUAGGUAUGAGCAGAUAGCCAGUCCAGAGCAGUGGGUAUUUUUAGAGGUAACUGACAUUAUCUGUAUCUCUACUUUUUACAUUGAUUUCAGAGUUCUUGCAAGAACAGCAUCUGUUCCUGGUGAUUUAUAGUGGCUGAGUUUUUCAAGCUGCCAAUAGACUCUUCCUUUGAGACUUCCAGGCCUAGUGAAGCUACUCUCAUUUCCACAUAAAGCGUGCCCUUGGGACAGGGAUUUCUUCAUCACCCUCUAUAUUAAAAACAAAUCCUGUAUUUUAUUUAUAUUUGCUGUUCCUUUCUUCAUCCUCUACAGGUACAGGAGCGUGUUCUUCUGCAGUACACGUGGAAGCAACAGCUCUGCGGAAGAGCAGUGUUUGUUCCUCCAUCCCAUAGUCCUCCAGACUGCCAGUGACUAUCAGUACAGCUUUUCAUUAGCCUGUGGUAUAUCAGGUAGACAUCUGUUAUUCACUAAUUUAUAGCUAAUUGGCAUUUAGCUGCUAAGAUUGGUUUUAGUUUUGGAAAUUUUAGCAUUUCUGUUUUUCUAUUGGAGGAACUGUUUUAGUCCAGGAGGAAUUUUGUAUCAGCACAUACCCCAUGAAUGAGCACACGCAGAAAGUUCCUGUGUAAUGUGGUGUUAGGACCAUCCAUGUAAGAUACCAUUUACUUGGUUUGAUGAGCAUUACCUGAAUCUUCUAAGAAGGCUGAGCAAGCAAAACCUCUUGCCUCAAAGUGUCACAAGUGAUAGAGGCACCUUGUCUCUGGUUCUAGUUUGCUUGAGCGGAAACACUGAGAAAGACCAGAAGAAUCUUUUGCUUCUUCCACUUCUUGAUGUAGGCUGUCAGUGUGUCUCCUAACACAGCUAGACCUUGAAUAGAGGGUGACAAGGAGCAGAAUAUUUGCAAAGCAGAUCCUCACUUUCUCAUUGUACAUAGCUCAAACCUGGGAACACCGGGCUGCGUUAUGCUGCAGACUUGGAACUACCUUGGGUAUUUCAUAGCACGUGCUCUGCAGUUCCUGGAUCCUUUACCAGUUGUGUUGCUGAAGCAGAAAUCACCAGUGGCAGUGAUACUGGAAUUAAUUCUGAUGAAGUUGAGUCACCUUUGGAUCCUUCAGUUGAAAGCUGAUGGAGCAAUCCAGCAGUCCAUUAUCAAAUCAGGCUCAGAAUUGGCCCUUAUGACCCUCUGUGGAUGUCCAGCCUUCAGCAUUGACUGAACCAUUCUCUGCUCUGCUGGUACUGAGAUAAUUUCCUGUAAGUCUCCAAUACCGUGCAGGACUAAUUCUAUAGAAAAUAUUUCUGUGCUCUGUCAGAAUUAGAAGAGAAGAGAGGGAUCCUUCUGUAAGGUUCUCUUUAGAUGGACAUCCCACACUAGGUAGAGGCAUCAGAUGUGGUUCAUUCACAGUAGGGUUGCUUAUAGAGAAACAGAGACUUUCACUGCAUUUUUCAGCACCUCUCUAUGCUCAUGAGCAGUUAUUAAAUGGCAAGGAUCCUUGAGGUACCAUCUAGACAUUUAGAUGAGGCCCUGGGCAACCCGAUCUAGUGAGUGGCAUCCCUGUCUGUGGCAAGGGGGUUGGAACUAGAUCAUCUUUGAGGUCGCUUCCAACCUAAGUCAUUCUAUGAUAUUUAACUUCAGCUUUCAAAGACUGCCUGUUGUUGAUGUGUCGUGCUAAGUGCUGUCAGACCAGAAUAUGGUCUUGGGACAGCCUUCACUGGAAGGAAGGCAGUCCAAUAACAGCAAAAAUUGAUGGGGUGGAGGAAGAGUAACUUUUCUAACUUCUGUAUCUGCUGCAGAAAGAGCUACCCUUCUGUAAGUGAGGGUACCCAACUACCCAAGUAUGCGAGCCCAACAGGGUAUUGUUAAUGAAUAGGUGUAAUCAAUAAUUUAAAGUGGUGCUAAGAAUUGCCACAGGCACCUAGGGAGGCAUUUAGAUCUGGUGCAGUCAAGACCGUUUAUAGCAAUCGCUUUUCCAGAGACAGACCUCUUUAUAAAGACAACUUCUUUAUGGGCUUUUUGAAUUACAAGCAGCUAUUAAGUGUUUUGUGAUCUGUUUAGUAUAGACAAGGUCCUGCACACUAUUCAUAGGGCCCUGGGAGUAAAUACCAGUUCCCAAGAACAGGCAUCGCAGCACAGGCUUUUCAACUGCCCAGACCUACAUGCCUUCCAGCAAAGCUACACAAAAUCUCAAGAGAAAAAAGAAAAACCUCUUCCUCGUGUUUAGUGGUUCACCUGCUUCUUUCAUCAACACGGCAGAGCAUCUGACUCUUUGAUCUGGAAGUUUUCAAGUUCUGCCUUCUUCCUUUCAACCACUGAAGUGGUUUUGUAACAGGUUAGUGCCAGGCAUCAGAGAGACAGGCUUGCACAGUCUAUUUUAGUUACUCAUUGACUCCAUUCUCUUCCAGGGCAUUUUAAUAUAGAUAAUUAGUAACGUCCCUUUUCCUAUGGAAGAGAAGAGAAAUCCUACUUCAUCUUUUAAAGAGGGAGGGGAAAACUGUUGAGUUAAUGACUCAGUUCCAAUACAGCAUCCACUUUGGCCUGUCCUGGAUCUCAAGAGAUGCAAAUAUGUACAUCUGAAAGAUCAGACAAUAAUAUUUUCAGCUAGUAGUUUUUCAACACCAAGUAAAACGCCUUGCUUUGAGUUUUCAAAACACUUAUUUCCAUGCUACCACACAGCUUGAAGGAGCUACGUGAGAGUUAUAGCCUCCUGUGUAAGACCAGUUCAGUGAGAGCGCGUCAGGCUUUCAAUAGCUAAGCACAAGAGUGCUGUGGCACAGCAUACAGGACGUGCUGUACCCAAUGGAGGAGUCAUACAAAAGUCGCACAAGUGUCCCUCUACCUGGAAUUGCAUUUUCUAGAAAAGGUUCUGCAGGAAAGUCUCUGAAAUGGAAGCUGAGUCUAGCGAAAAGUUGAUCGUUUGUCCAUCCUUUUCCACGUGUAUCUGUACAGGUGUCAGGACUCCAUAUGAAGAGCACUUAGCUCUGGAUUGCGGUAUCAUAUUUCAGAAAGCUCUUACUGAAUGGUGACAGGCAACAGUUUGCAGGUUCUGCUUUACUGAUCUGAAGAUUCCCCAUUUAGGAGUUUGCUGACAGGGUUACUGCUUUCCAUACUGCACGUGGAAUUGAAGUAAAGGCCUCCGAGAGGAGGUGUCCAGUCCAGUGGAGGCUUACUGUGCUGGUGCUGCCAAGGCAGAGGUGGUAGCUUCAGCACUUGUCUAUGCAGCCACCAAAAGCUCAGCUUCUGCUUCCAGGCAUGAGAUAUCAAGAUGAUUAACCCACCUACUGUUUGGAUCCUGCAAUGGUUCACCUCCUAGUGCAGGUACAGAACUGACCCGAGAGAGAAAUGUUGUUUGGAUAUGCAAAAUUUGUCAGAUGUUCUACAGAUCUACCUACCUAGAAAAAAUGUUCCUGAAGUCUCAUUAAUGUCUAACUCUCCCACCCAAGUCAUUCUGUGCCUCUUCCAAGUUCCUGUAGCAGCUGUCACCUGCCCAUUCAUUCACCCCAUCAGAUCUUUUACUUUUCUCUAUCUGAUGUUGCUAAAAUUUGAGCUGUUAACUGUCCUCCCUUGGAUUCAGCAAUUUGUGUCUGGUUCCCCAAAGGCACUGACGCUCUCCAGCCAUGUGUUAUCCCUUUACUCCUAUCAAAGGGGAAAUUAUUUGGGUUUGCUCUCUUCUGUGGGUCUCAGCCCUCCUCUAGAGCAUGACCUGUUCCUCUGUUGUACCAGUGGCCAGGCCAAGGAGCAAGCUGAAGACAUUGCAAAAAGAUGCAAAGAUUAAAGAUGGAAGGUUCAACAUGUGUCGCGUACUGUUUGCUGUUGGAUGCAGCGUUGUAAACGAAAUGCUUUGUCUGUAUUUACUUUUAUUCCCCAGUUUAGUUAUCACUGGGGGGGGGGGAAACAUAGACCAGUCUUUUCAGAAGGCCCUCAAUGAAAGCUGCAAAACUGCCAUUGAAACUUAAAGAAAACUGAGUUCCCAGACUCGAUGUUUCCAAUCUCUUGCCUUUUUUUCCUGUGUAGCAUCAGGCUGGAACGAUGUUGCAAUGUUUAAUUCUGAACAGUUUCAGCAAGCCCUCAGCUGACUGUUGUAGCAGGAACUUGCUUAGAAAGCAAAGCACCAACUUCAUUCUCCAAAGCAGAUUUGUACACAUUACAGUUUCCAGCCUGUAGGGCGACAUUCAUCAUCCUGCUGACCAGAAAGAAGCCACCAAUUAACUGAACCAUCGCGUCGGAGGGGAAAUGGAGUAGAAACGGGGUAAGAACUCUUGGAGAAAUUUACACGUCAGAUCACACUUGCAGAUAAAACUUCAGGGGGUGGUUUCAGCAGAAACUGUGCUAUGGUCUAGAAGGCUGCCAUUCCCCCUUUUUGCAAAUGGCAGGCAGAUUUAUUUGUGUUUUAUGCGAUGACUGGUGAUUUACAUCCCACCCACCCAUCUGAGAGCAUUCUGGGCUCCAGGCAUAUCUCCAGCCAGUUCCAGGCUAUUCAAAGGGUUGUUGGUCCGUCCAUUUACUCGUCACAACCAGGCCUUCUGUGACUAAUUACGGCCUGACUGCAGCAGGAGAUGGCAGCUUCAAAGAGUGGGAAUCUUCAGCCGCGCUAGCAGUUCCCUCGCUUCUCAAUUCUUUAUUUAUGUGGAUUACAUUGAGUUGACAGAUUUAACUGGGCUGUUGAAGAUACGGUCAAAGAAGCAGAGUCCCUCCCUUCCCUUUUAUUGUUUUCUGAAGACAUAACAGUCAUAUGCAUCUGUCACUAGAGAGAGGAAGUUCUCCAUCACUGGGCUUGAUUUGGGCUUUUAUAUGCUGUUUCAGUAGCAUCUGGGAAUAGAUCAAUAUAAUAUUUGGUAGGGAGUUGUAUUUCCUCGUGAUGCACUGUAAAUCUUUUAUUGUAGAUACUCCCACUGUUUAUUGUUGAAAAUCAAUAAAAAUAAACCUUGUAAAGUUAAAGCCUGGCAAGGGUUCAGCACAAAUCACAGGGAAGGAGCGAGAGGCAAUGAGCCUCCCUCCCCCUCUUGGCUAGUUCCCAGCUUGUUUCCCAAUGAAUAUUCAAUAACACUUUCCAGCAAUCUGGGAACAAACUUAUUUCUCUUGAAUUAUUCAAAGUUACGAACGCUCUGUUGUGGUCUCAAACAGGACUUCUAACCCGCUUUGGCUGCUUUCUGGCACUGAAUUCAGCUGUGGAUCAAAACCCAGUAUCACCCAGAUCCUGUGUUGGAUAUACGUUAGCCUUAUCCCUUCCAGAGACGGACGAAAGCACGUCGGCCUCGUUCCGCUCAGGUUAACCGGGUAAUUUGUGAGCAUUACCACUGGAUAUUAGCCAAAAUAGGUUAAAAAGAGGGAGCAGCCUGCUGUGGAGAGAAGCUCCCCAAAAGUCAGAAGAGAAUUUACAACCCCUGUUUGCACGCAAGGUGGGAUGCAAUUACUCUGGCAUCGUACUUUGCUCUGUGGCUUCUAAUUCCUCACAUACUGCAUCUUAUGGUGGAGUCUUCAAGUCAUGAGGUUCAACUACACAGGGAAAUGAGAAAUGUUUGGGAAUUAUUUAGUGAAGGAGAACGCAGCACCAAGGCCAAGCUAAAAGGUUGUUCUUUUUUAAGUCUUAGCACAGUAUCAAUCACAAUAGGUUUAUUUAGACAUCGAAUAUUAAUUGAUUAUACUGUGUUAUGAGCAGUGACAGCAAAAUAUGUAAGAACGUAGUGACUAUACUUCCUGAAAGAGUGAAACCCCUCAGGAAUUACCGUGUUGAAAUCAAUACCCAAAGAAUCUUUGCAGAACAGGGGGAGCAACGCAACAAAAAGAAGAGGAAGGUGUUUCUUGUCGGACUCUCCCCUUCCCAGUACCAGCAGAUCCAUGAACGUUUCGGGUGGCAAACAAAGGACACAUCCCCAGAAGAGACACUGAGAACAAGAGGGAAUUUUCCAACAUUGAAUAAAGAAAUACAGGAUGAAAUCCAACUAUAAAGGAGGGAAAAAUGAUUAAAAUAAAGAAAAUACAAUACAGUUCCAGGUUGUUCCAAACAGUCUUAAGUUGCGUCAACGGUCUCAAGUCUUUCCAGGGAUGUUCAGAUUGGACAUGAGGAAGGAUUUCUUCUGUCACAUAAAAUCUAAGUAUUUGAAGGACUCAGUGGCUGCAUUAUCUUACCUCUUAGUUCCUUUCCCUCUAGCCCCCUUACUGCUGUGGGAAUCCACUGGUGUGUUAUAACAGAGGAGAGCUCACUGCGCCCUGCACAUCCAGAAAGGAGCUGGAGGACCGACUGGCUCGUGGUGCCCCAGUGAUACGGCAGGCAACUCCCAGCAUCUCCUGCCCUGGAGCAAUUUGCAAAGUUUUGCAGAAUCCGAGGAAUAAUAAAAAGGCAAAUACAGAACGGAGUUUACUGUAAUCAGUAAAUUUUGUACCCUCCCGGGAAGGAAUUCUCUUGAGCAAGUGGGCAAUGACUUGAAGUGAAUCAAGCCAACCAUUACAAAUUCCAACUUUGUUGGAAAAAAUGUCUAAAUGUUUCAAAAUGACAACUGCCAUUUGGUUGUAGCUCUGCCAUUGCUGCUUCCACUUUCUAUGCGAAGAAGUCCAGGCAGGUGCUUUCCUUCAAGGACCCAGCUCACCACCAAACCAUCUCCAAUUAAAUUUAUCCCGCGGGUAUCCUGCAGGACAACACGCACUCGGGCACUUCCACCAAGUUUCUGUUGGGUUAUUGACUCACACUCACGUGCUCUCAAACUUACCAAGGUACCAUUUUUUAUUUUUUUUAAAAAAGAGCACAAGUGACAGAGGUGAUACUUCUCAGCUCAUUUCUAGGAAUCAAGGAUAGAACAACGUGGGAAUCCAAACUUACUGGCUCUCACGAGCAUUACAUCAAAAAUGCGCCCAGUCCCACUGUAUGUGCUCACACCAGGUCAAGUGAAAGCUCUGAGAACUGACCCUCUGUUCGCUUCCCCAGUGUUCUCUGCAGACCUUUCUCUCUUAAUUCCCAGCACCAAAGAGCAGCUCAGUGUCCUCAGAUGGGGGCAGAGGACAGAGGAGCAUUUUGCAAGAG